rnacentral:lncRNA from 7 species
ACCAUUCUUUAGAUUCUCCACAGUCCAGGUACCUUCCACCCCUCAUCCCUUCAAGUAGUUCAAAAAGUACUUUGUUUUGUUGUCCUCAGGACUCUCAGCUAAAGCUUGCCUUGGUGCAGAGUAUCACUGAGGUCAGCUGCUCCAUCCAGGCUGUGGGUGAUUGCCCCAGCUUUGGACUCUUCUCAAAGCAGGAGGCCCUGAGGACACUGCUGGUGAGUAGCCAAGAGCCAGGGCCAUUCCACAGAGGAGUUUUGAGGGGUACCAUAAGGCUUGUUUCCACCAAGGCUUACUGGUCUCCCCUGGGUUCAUGGGAGCUCCUGGAGCCAAGUCUCCACCUAGCAAGGCCCUUGUGUGCUGCUGCUCAGUGCCUGUGGCUGUGGAGUAGGGUCCAUCCGGCCCCUAAGCAGGUGCUGCCAUGCCCUCAUGUGCCCUUCUGGAAGCCACAGAGGUGAUAUGACCAAUGUGUGUACAGAUUUGGUAGAAGAAUGGGUCCCAGGGGAUGCAGGGGAGCUCUACGUGAUCUUGCCCACUGCCUACUUUUGUUGUCUGUCUGGAACUUGCAGGGCUGGGUAAAAGAGGAGCCCUGGGAUGUGGCAGUAUACCCCAUGCUUUUGGCCUUGGAGCAGCCGAGCAAAGUGAAGCCAUCUCUGAGAAGGGGGGAAAAUCGCCACCUGUUGUCUGAGUGCUGCCAAAGCGUCUUUUCCCAUCCAUCCAUUGGAGAGAUAAAAGUGAGACGGAGGCCAGUGAGAGCAGCUUUGAACGUCAAGCUCCUGCACACGUCAUGCUUGGAGGCUCUGGGCUGGCUUAUGACAGUACUUCCUGAAGCUGAGGGGCCCUCUGCCACUUUUGAGGACAUAGUCUGUGUGAGUAGCUAUGGAAUGAUGGGGAAAGACAGGGGAGUGGUGCUUUGACUACUGCCACUGAUGCCAUCCUUCUGGCUGGAGAAUGAGAGUGCCAGGCCCCUAUGGAUUGAAGGCAGACAAAGAAGUGGGACUUGCUGGAGGAAAAGCCAAGAGUCAGCCCCAAGGAAGUUGAGAGCAGCCUGGGGAAAGGCUGCAGGGAGGAGGUACCUGCACAGAAAUGGCUCUUAGGUCAGGGCAGAGGUGCUAGCCAAGGGAGAAGGGCUGUGCAGGUGGGAACGACCAUGACGAGCAGAAGGAGAGACCUUUAGGGGAGGGGCCAGUAGGUAGGUUUGAGAACCAAAAGGAAUUGCCCUCACACAGUACUUUGCCCAUCAGCUUUCUGAUCCCUUUUUACCUUAAGCAAGCCCGAGGCUACUUCCACUCUUGAGAAGGUGGAGGAAUGUCUCCCAGAGGAUUUAAGUAGUCUGAUCUCAUCAGUGGGAAGGGGGUGGGAGGGGCUGGGGGGUUGGAGCGUUGGAGCUUGAUGAUCCUCAAGGUCCCUUCCAUUUCAAGCCAUUCUAUGAUUCAAUGAUUCUAUCACUUAGGACUUAAGAAAUCAAAAAUGUCGGUAAUGGUGCUGUACCAGUGAACAUUACAUAAAGACUUGGCCUGCUUUGUGUCUUUCAUUAGUCUGGCAUAUGUCCCCUGGCAUUUUUUUUGUUAAAAUAAAUAAAUAAAUAGCUUUCUGAGAGGUAUUAUCAUGAAUAGCAAAGAGUUAGCAGUGAGAGAAAAAGCAGUGUUCUAAAAACCUCAUACUAAAGGACAAGCUCUGAAAAAAAAAAUUAGUUUUCUGGUACAGAAAGAAAAAAUCACAGGAAAUAAAUUAAAUGUUAAAAGUUUAUCAUAAUCAGGAAGUAGAAUUUAGAACUAACUUAGGCCAUGAUGGGACAAGCUGUGUUAUGAUUUUAGGGCAGCAGAAGAAUGGGGAUACACAUCUCAGCACAGGGACAUGGAGACAAAUGGUAAUGCAGGGGCUGGGAUGUACUAUGUAAUUGAGGAGCCACAGAAGAGCAAUGAAAUAAGCAUGGCAGGUUGCUGGGAACUCAGAGGCACUACCAAAUCCUCAGAAAGCCACAGCAGUAGCACCUGGCAGCAACACCCCUCCACCCUAGUGCUGACCAAGGCAAAACGUGAGGGAAAGGCUCUCCCUUAGCAGGUCCUGGGGCUCAGGGCUGGUUCAUUCUGGUGAUGAAUGAACACCCAGGACCCCUGUGGCAUCAGAGCCACCUGCACAUCAUCUUUGGCACCUGUCGCCAGCAGUCCGAGUUCUUGCUUCACCAGCCCCCAGCGUGGGGCCCCCUGGGCAUUUGUUCCUUCAUGGCCUGGCCAGUGUUGGCUCCCAGUGAUGCUCCCAUUGCCCUCAGAAACUUGGGGCUGGCUUUGGUCUGUUAUUUCCUCAGAGGUUUGUUCCUGAUGCUUUCUGUGUCUGCAGUUCAGGAAUUGGGCAUCAGAGGGCUCACCAACAUGCAAUCUGUACCAACAGGCUGAGUCUCUGGGUGUCACACAUCUUAAUUCUUCAGGUCCAGUGUGGCUGUUUUGGGAACUUUCAGGAGUACAGCCAUUUCCAUUAUUAGCCACCUCGGCCUUGCUUGCAUCUUGCCUUCUCAAACAUCAGUUUUAUACACUAAAGUUUCUAGCUGAAUUUUACAGCUCAUUCGCACUAUUAGUUUCCACUGACUAUUUUUGGGGAACCAGAUGCACAUGGCCAAUAGAAGUAAAAGUUCAUUACUUCUGUAAAAUUCUGUACAUUCUUCAGCUAGGUAUUAAGCCCAAGUCACUUCCAGUGAAGUCUUCUUUUUGCAGUGGGUAACAGCACGAGCUGAGGCUGGCUGCUCACCUCAGGGUAUUUGAGUAAGCUAUGCAGGGACCUCCUGAUAUUGAGUUCUUUUUCAUCCAGGCCCAGAGGUCACCUCUGUCUCAUGAAUGGACUUGCCAACAGCAGUGAGACAUAUUCUGUGGUCACGAAUGCCAUCAGAAAGCAGCCCCCAGCCAGGUGACGCUUUUUGGUUGUCUAGGGGGGUCCAGACAAAAGCAAUGGGAAGCCUGGGAGAUGAAAGAGGGGCUUGACCAAGAGAGGUGAAUAACUUUGAAAAGGAAGGAGGAGUUCAAGUCAUGUUGAAGCCAGUAUGACACUGACAAGUAACCUUAAGCUCUAAUCCUACCUCUAAAUGCAAUCCCUCACCCCAAAAAGGAGUCACUACUUUAAACUGCUACCUCAAAUCUUGCCUUCACAACAAAGUCCAAACCCACAGUCCCUGACCCUUACUCUUACUCUGCUGCUCGCUCUAACCAAUAGCCCUCAUCCCUAGGACUGAAAUGCUAGCUUGAGCUUUCUCCUUUGCCCUAGCCCUAAAAGAAAACAGCCUGCAAAGAGAGCCCAUACCAUAAAAAGUGACCAGGUACCCUAAGCAGUAUGCUAUACCAUCUCCUGAAAGUUUGCCUCAUCCCUCAUCUUUAAAGGUGAGCUCUAAUCCUUAAACUCUGUCUGGAACAUUUUAACUCCAAAGCCCCUUAUUGCUGUACUCUAGCCUUAACCCUUCCCUAAAAAAAAUCCAAAUCCCUCUCUCUGAUAGGCCAUCUCUAAUGCCUAAACUCCAAUUUAAAUAUAUUUCACCUUCACUGCUUCUGAGCCUCAGCAGAUCCCAGGAUCGCAGGAACCCCAUCGGGCACUGAGGGGAUUCUCAGGGAGAGCCUCUGAUCCGUGGGCUGAAAAGCUGAAGGUGGUAUUGGGGUUCACAAGAAGAUCCCCUCUGGAGAGCUUGUUGAAGCACUGGAAAGAGGUAGGAGAGGAUCCAUACAGCAAAAGACAGCUGGGGGAAUCCUGCAGUCAUUGUUCGUUCCUGUAUGUUUUGGAGGAUUUGGAUGGUGUAGAAGCAAGGGAUUUAAACAUGUUAAUGAAUGGAGCAUGGAAGUUGUAUAAUAACUGGGAGAGAGCGGAGUCCAGACAGGCCUGCCGAGAAGGAGGACUGAGCACAGCCUCAGUUCAGGCUCAGGGAGGACCCAGAGAGAGAAAGAGGGAGGGGCUGGGGUGGCCCACCUCCCUCAAAAGAACAUAUGGGGCAGACAGUGCUGGAGGUGCCACUGCACUGCACACUGGCAGAGAAUGCACACUCACCAAAGUCCCUGCCCCUCCAGCAGCAGUUGUGCCCCAUAGUGAGCAAUGAGGAGGACAGGGGAAAUCAUUGCCAGCUGAACCCCUGUUUACUGUACAGCCGGGAAGCAGAAAAGUGGACUUUUUGCUGGACACCAAAGCCACAUAUUCAGUUUUAAAUGUAUGUAGAGGUAAUUUUAGCAGUGAAACUGUAAAUGCUGUUUAUGUGCUGACACACAGGGCAACCUUUUUUACAACCUUUGAAAUGCAGAUUAGGGAAACAAUGGCUAAGGCAUCAAUUCUUACACAUGCCAGACUGCCCUGUCCCUCCCUUAGGGAGGACUCAUGGAGUAAGUUAGGGGCACAGAUAAUCUUCAAGGUCACAGAAUUUCUAUUCCAGGUCCCUGAAUGCAAAGCAUGGACUUGAAUGAUGAGUCUUUGCAGAACACUGAACGAGCGUAUUCCAGCCGCCAGGAUCUGGAGGACAAGCACCUCCCUGAACCACACGUAGCAUUGCUCACUGCUGGCAGUAGCUUUGUCCAAGGGGGCAGCAGAAGGUGAUGGGGUUUACAAUAGUCACAACCACUGCAGUGGUGGAAGCAAAAGCCCCAGAGGCCAAUACUUCAGCUCAAAGGGUGGAACUGAUAGCACUGACACGGUGUUGCAAGCCAAGGAGGCUUAUGGUUCGUUAUAUCGAUCCCAAUCCCUCCAAAUUAAGAGUCAGAACAAAGUCAAGGUGUUAACUGAGCAAGGGUAUGCUUUAUUUAUUUAUUAAAAGAUGGGCAAGUGAGAGAGGAAAAGAGAAGGAGAGGAGAGAGAAAAAAAAAGGAAAGAAAAGCAAGUCACCACUGCAAAUCACAUGAUGUCCGGAGGGUCCGUCCUCCUGCUUAUCUUUCUAGGGUGGUCAGGAUGUGGUGGGGCGAGCACUGCUGGCUGUGGGGCUGGCAGUGCCUGUGAUGGUUCCUUCCAAUUGGGCCAGGAGCUGCUGCCGGGCGGAGAGUGCCCAGUGCCACACACUGUGCCGUGAGCUGUACUGCUGCGCUUCUCCCUUCCAUGGUGGUCAUGUCUGGGGGGAGGGAAACCCAACACUACCUCCAAAAGGACGGCUCACCCCUGGCUUCUCUGUUGUGCUUGCGUACCACAUGUUUGUUCUGCACCUCUCACAAAAGUGUGACAGUUGAGGUUUUGUUCUGAGGCCUUCACAAGACUGUUACUCACCAGUUAGCUGCACGUCCAUCUCUUAACCAGUCAGAAGGAGACUGAGAAA